rnacentral:rRNA from 1 species
CCUACGGGUGGCAGCAGUGGGGAAUAUUGGACAAUGGGGGCAACCCUGAUCCAGCCAUGCCGCGUGUGUGAAGAGGCCCUCGGGUUGUAAAGCACUUUCAGUGAGGAAGAACGCCUGGUGGUUAAUACCCAUCAGGAAAGACAUCACUCACAGAAGAAGCACCGGCUAACUCCGUGCCAGCAGCCGCGGUAAUACGGAGGGUGCGAGCGUUAAUCGGAAUUACUGGGCGUGAAGCGCGCGUAGGUGGCUUGAUAAGCCGGUUGUGAAAGCCCCGGGCUCAACCUGGGAACGGCAUCCGGAACUGUCAAGCUAGAGUGCAGGAGAGGAAGGUAGAAUUCCCGGUGUAGCGGUGAAAUGCGUAGAGAUCGGGAGGAAUACCAGUGGCGAAGGCGGCCUUCUGGACUGACACUGACACUGAGGUGCGAAAGCGUGGGUAGCAAACAGGAUUAGAUACCCCUGUAGUC